AGUCAGUGCAAGAAAUCAGGGACUUGCAUAAACUUGCCAAGCCGCAAAGCAAAUCCCCUUCCACUGAAGAGGUGCUGGGCUUGUCGUAGGAUGUGACCCACUGGAUGCUGGCAGGCGGUUCUUCUGAGAGACUGAGAGAUGCUGGAAAACUCAGCAUCUCAGUGAAUGACUGGAAGAACAAGGGAGUAAAAGAACAUGAAGGUGGGCCACCCUAUUCACACACACACACCUAUGUGUGUAUAGAUAUUUGUAUAUAUGUGUUUUUAUUUUUAAAUGAUUCUGUCAGGGUCUCAGAUAGAGGUGAAAUUCUAACCUACUCAGAGUGAUUUCUUUUAGGUUCCCAGACCUGGGAUCCACAUUUUUUGCUCUACUGAGGUAGGAAGGUGUCACUAGAUCCAUUAAGAACUGCAAAUUCAACAUCUGUGAGAAUGGUUGAAGCUCAAAAGACUGGCCAGCUUCUCAAAUACCCAGUGACUGAAAUACGUAACUGGCCAGCUUCUCAAAUAGCCAAGGCAGUGCCAAGGUUACUACUCAGGAGAAUGUCUUCCAUGUGCCUGGGGCAGACAGGAAGUGUUCUGACCCUCUGCCCACAGCUUUGUUCCUGUACCCACCAACUCAAGUGAUUAAUGGGGUGGCAGGUGGUGCAGCAGCCAAGUGACCUUCACACACUGUAACUCCUUUUGUUUCCUAUGGGACACUUUCCAGAUGGGGUUUUCAGCACUCAGGAAACCUCUUUGUGGCUGGCAGUAAUGCAAGAAGUGCAGUGUUUAUCCAUUUCCUCUCCUGAAGCCCUGCCCUUUGGAGCCUCGUCCUUGUAUUGCUGCCCAGGUAUUUCACAAAUUCCAGAUCAUUCCCACACUGUUCCUGCACACACAGCGCUAUGCCCUGUCCCCUGCUGUCCUCUU
rnacentral:lncRNA from 1 species